rnacentral:lncRNA from 1 species
ACUGCUCUAAGGCUACUGUAUGUCUCUUCACUGCUUAAUUAGGAAAGAUAUUACUCAUUUUUGUUUGAUAUGAUCAUUUGAAAAGAAUCAAUAGUUUGGACAAAACUAAUGGCCCAUUACUCAUUUUUGUUUGAUAUGAUAAUUUGAAAAGAAUCAACAGUUUGGACAAAACUAAUGGCCUUCAUGUGCUCAUUGUCGUAUUCUAUAUAGUAAAGGUUGCUAUGAGGAGGUCGUUGUGCUAGUGAAGAUUGCUUCCAAUUAUCCGGAUUUGAAAUAAAUGCAGAAAACAUAAAAUUGUAACAGUGUAUGGAUGGACACAAAGUUUGAAGUAUUAAUUUUACUCAUGUAUAUUAUUUUUGCUAAUUGAACGAAUAUUUAAAUAAUGGUUAAGAAAAUAGUUUGUUAGAGAAAACUAAUUUUUAAAUUGUCUUUAUUUAGAAAUGAUGUCUUAUCUUUAUCACAAGAAGUUACAUAAACA